rnacentral:rRNA from 1 species
AUGAGCUCCUCGUCUGAUCUCUCCUCCGGCGGCUCUGAUUCCGACGAGGAGUUCGGCCCUCCCGUCGCCACCCAGAGCCUCCCCACUCUCCAAAUCCAGAGCCUUCGCAUCCGCGAUCAUGUCAUGGUCACCCUCGACUUCGAGAAGGAGAACUAUGGCCUGUGGCGUCGUCAGUUCCUCGACGCCCUCGCCAAGUUCGGGCUCACUCAUCAUGUCGAUGGCUCGCCGGCGCAGGCCACCUCCGACUGGGUGCUCGCCGACUUCGCGAUCCUAUCGUGGUACAACGCCACGGUGACUCCCUCGACCCUGGAGAUCGUCGCGGACCGCAAGGACAAGGCGUACACGCUCUGGAGGUCCCUCCGCUCCCUCUUCCGCAGCAACCGGGAUGCUCGCAUCACUUACCUCCUCGACGAGUUCCAUGGCUUCAUCCAGGGUGAGCUCUCCGUCGUCGACUACACCUCCAAACUCAAGCAGAUGGCAGACACUCUGCGGGACCUUGGGCAUCGCGUCAAGGAUCGGGAUCUCGUCCACAACGUCCUGCGCGGCCUCGACGACCGCUUCCAGCACGCCGUGCCACACAUGACCAGCGGGCGCCUUCCCACCUUCAUCAAGCUCCGCGCCUUUCUUCAGCUCGAGGAGCAACGGCUCGCCCGUCAGGCACGCGUCGCCGCCCGCUCCGCCCUUCUGGCGCAGGCGCACGCGUUCUACGCCGCUCGCCCUCCAGCACCGGCCCCCUCCUUCCACAUGGCGGCGCCCGGUGUUCAACCGGCAGGUGCGGGGCCCUCCGCUGGUUCUCCAGGGUCGCGCGGUCGCAAGAAGCGCAAGCACAACUCGUCUUCGGGCGCCGGCUCCUCCUCCGGCGGGGGCGUGCCCGCUCUCGGUCACCAUGGCGCUGGCUCACGCCCUCCUGCUCCCACUACUGUUGCCGGGACGUUCCAGGGCAUCCUCGGGGCGCGACCUCCUGCUCCCGCGACCCACCACGCGCUCCAGGCCACGUCCAGCCCGGCGCCGUCUCCGCAAUGGGACCAAGCCGCUCUCAUCGCGGCGCUCCACCAGAUGUCCGUACAGCCGCCCUCGACUCUUGGAGGCGACUGGGUGUUCGACAGCGGCGCGUCGUCCCACAUGAGUUCUGGUGCUGGAUCUAGCCACCAAGACGGUGCUUCUCCGAUGUGA